UGUCCGCAGCGGUACUACUCCAGUGGAAGCAGUGCUGGGCCUGUCGCUUGCAACUCCUGUAUCGAAGGUCCGCACACGCCGACACGCCACGAUUGCGAACUGGAGGAUGGCUCUGCUGCCGUUGCUUCGACACUGGAAGAGGAUCCUCAUGGUCGCCGUUCCAAUCUUGCUGCUCCCUCUGCUGUCCUUGGAAGAUCGGAUGAAAUCUCACUGCGCCUACGUAGUCGGUGUCGUGGGGCUGUACUGGAUCGUAGAGCCUAUCCCACUGGGAGCCACGUCCCUCAUCCCCAUCGUACUGCUCCCCAUGCUCGGAGUACUCACAACGGAGAGAACCUGCCAGUUGUACAUGAAUGACACAAACAUAAUGUUUGUAGGCACUUUGAUCAUGGCCAUCGCUAUUGAGCACUCGAACUUACACCAAAGAAUCGCCCUCAAGACACUCUGUCUGCUAGGAACCGGCUUAAAGACGU